rfam:Pteropus alecto contig31941, whole genome shotgun sequence.
AGCUUUGAGUGGUGGUAGCACCGUCGCCUCUGAGGCUUAACCGAGGCACGAUCAUUGCUGAUUGAAAACAUGAGAACGAAUUCCAGCCCCUCCUCCCUCCAGUGAGGCUGAGGCUCCACAUUCAUUUCCUGCCUUGAUCAGAAU